rnacentral:lncRNA from 1 species
UUUUUUUUUCGCACUGUAUUUUUUCAGGUUGCGACAGCUGGCGACUUUGCUGGGGACUUUAGAAGUUGACCUCUUGCUGGUCCAUCUUCCCUAAGCGAGUCCCUCCUAGCUUGUGUGUUUUCUUGUUUAUUGAGUGUUCAUUCUUUUGUGCAGUUGCUUAUUUGCCUAAUUGCAUUCAUGUACAUAUGUUUGCUGUAUCUGCUGCUGUUUGUUUGUUUGUUGGGAUGGGGUGUUCUAUGAGAGAUAAGCCCAUUACCCAGGCUUGAGUGUACACACAGUUUUUAGAGUGGAUGUUCAUGAGGCUUGCGUGGCAUGUUGCUGCGUUAAGUCGUUCGUGAAGAACCACACCCAGACGAGGUUUCUCUUGGAUAUACUAUGUCCUACGGAUGUUCCGUAACGACAUAAUAUUCCCCUAGAAAUUGUCGACUCUGGUGACCAUUUCCCGAGAACUCAGUCGAGGCCUCUCCUCCGAGACGUGAUUAUGUUAGCUCUGGUGGGCGCAUUCUCGCUGAUCAAUCCGAGGACCCCGAGACUGGGAACUUGCUUUAGGAUGUCCUGUUGAGGGGAGUCAGUGGAGGUCUUUUAUUCC